rnacentral:rRNA from 1 species
AUGCAAGUCGAACGGAGUUCCUUGGAUAGAGGCUUCGGCCAAUUGAAUUGGAACUUAGUGGCGGACUGGUGAGUAACGCGUGAGGAACCUGCCUUUCAGAGGGGGACAACAGUUGGAAACGACUGCUAAUACCGCAUGACACAUUCGGGCGGCAUCGCUUGAAUGUCAAAGAUUUUAUCGCUGAAAGAUGGCCUCGCGUCUGAUUAGCUAGUUGGUAGGGUAACGGCCUACCAAGGCGACGAUCCAUAGCUGGUCUGAGAGGAUGAUCAGCCACAUUGGGACUGAGACACGGCCCAAACUCCUACGGGAGGCAGCAGUGGGGAAUAUUGGGCAAUGGGCGCAAGCCUGAUCCAGCCAUGCCGCGUGUGUGAAGAAGGCCUUCGGGUUGUAAAGCACUUUCAGCGAGGAGGAAGGGUGGUGUGUUAAUAGCACAUCAUUUUGACGUUACUCGCAGAAGAAGCACCGGCUAACUCUGUGCCAGCAGCCGCAGUAAAAC